rnacentral:rRNA from 1 species
UACGGAGGGUGCGAGCGUUGUCCGGAAUCAUUGGGCGUAAAGGGCGCGUAGGCGGCCUGUUAAGUCGAACGUGAAAUCCCCGGGCUCAACCCGGGAACUGCGUCCGAUACUGGCAGGCUUGAAUUCGGGAGAGGGAUGUGGAAUUCCAGGUGUAGCGGUGAAAUGCGUAGAUAUCUGGAGGAACACCGGUGGCGAAGGCGGCAUCCUGGACCGAGAUUGACGCUGAUGCGCGAAAGCCAGGGGAGCAAACGGG